GGGAAACUCACCAGGUCCAGACAUAGGAAGGAUUGACAGAUGGAGUGAUUUGUCUGCUUAAUUGCGAUAACGAACGAGACCUCUACUUACUAAAUAGCAGAGGGAACAACUGUUCCUUCAGGCUUCUUAGCAGAACUUCGUAUGUCUAAUACGAGGAAGUUGGAGGCAAUAA
rnacentral:rRNA from 1 species